AAAACCUCAGUGCACUGAUGGAACAACUGCUACCAACUCAAUUUAUCUCCUGUACUGUACAUCUCUCUUUUCUGUACUGUAGGGGGACCUCGAGCACCACAAACACUCCCAGUUACACUUUGAUUCAUCACAUGGAUUACACAGCAGCUCACAGAACAUCACACUGCAGAGACACUCCCACCUGUAACUCUUUAUAUCUCUGUAAUUACAUUGACAGUUACAGUAUAUAUGAGACUUGGUGCUUUACAACAUGGACAUUAUCAAACAUGGUCUCCUCAGCUUCUUACUAUCUCUACUUUGGAACAAAGGUCUAGUUGUUGGGAGUGAUGUCACCCAGACCUCCAUACUAUGGAAAAACAAGGAUGAAAGUGCAACAAUGUCCUGCAACCACACCAAGGGUGCUGGCUACAGCCAGAUGUACUGGUACAGACAGCUGCCAGGAGAAGCAAUGAAACUCAUUGUGUUCACUGUUCCAACCAGCAAACCUGACUUUGAGCCAGACUUCAAAAAUGAGAGAUUCUCAGCUACUAAGCCUAACUUUGCUAAUGGGACAUUCACAGUGAAGAAUCUGGAACCAGGAGAUAAAGGCUUGUAUUUCUGUGCUGUCAGUGAGCACAGUGAUACAGAUGCACUUGACAGCUGAACAAAAACCUCAGUGCACUGUUGGAACAACUGCUACCAACUCAAUUUAUCUCCUGUACUGUACAUCUCUCUCUCCUGUACUGUAGGGGGACCUCGAGCACCACAAACACUCCCAGUUACACUUUGAUGUGGAGUUUGACACAGCAGCUCACAGAACAUCACACUGCAGAGACACUCCCACCUGUAACUCUUUAUAUCUCUGUAAUUACAUUGACAGUUACAGUAUAUAUGAGACUUGGUGCUUUACAACAUGGACAUUAUCAAACAUGGUCUCCUCAGCUUCUUACUAUCUCUACUUUGGAACAAAGGUAAAGUACAGUGAGAUCUUGUAACGUAACACCUUCCAUCACACAGACUGAGUGUCUCUCAUUUUCAUUUUGAUCAGAACACAAUAAUGAUCCCAGCUGGUCUGAUCAAACUCUCUGCAGCUCUGCUCUGUAUUGUAGGUACUGCACAUCAUGAGGCCGAGGAUUGAAAGGAGAAGCUGUCACUUUAGCUUUCAAGAAAUAAUGAUGAUUUUAUGUUCUGACUGCAUACAGAGGACUCACUGGUGGUUCUGUAACACUAUUUUUUUUUUUACCUCCACAGGUCUAAUUAAUGGGAGUGAUGUCACACUGAUCCCUCUGCUGUGGAGGAACGUGAGUCAGUCUGCAACAAUGAACUGCAGUCACACUAAG